GUGCUCGCCUCGGCAACACUUGCGCUAAAACUGAAGAGAUGCAGAGAAGACCAGCACGGCCUUUGGGUAAGGGUGACAGACAUACUUCUGUAGCAUUCCAUACUUUU
ensembl:snRNA U6 U6 spliceosomal RNA